AGACGACAAGGCUCAACCAUUCGUGAGAAUGGGGCGGAAAGCCCAUCGGGUCUCCACGAGACAGCCGGGUUACCGAA
rfam:Geobacter uraniireducens Rf4, complete genome.